rnacentral:rRNA from 1 species
GGAGUUAGCCGGUGCUUCUUCUGCGAGUAACGUCACAGAUGUAAGGUAUUAACUUACACCCUUUCCUCCUCGCUGAAAGUGCUUUACAACCCGAAGGCCUUCUUCACACACGCGGCAUGGCUGCAUCAGGGUUUCCCCCAUUGUGCAAUAUUCCCCACUGCUGCCUCCCGUAGGAGUCUGGGCCGUGUCUCAGUCCCAGUGUGGCUGAUCAUCCUCUCAGACCAGCUAGGGAUCGUCGCCUAGGUGAGCCUUUACCUCACCUACUAGCUAAUCCCACCUGGGCUUAUCCAUCAGCGCAAGGCCCGAAGGUCCCCUGCUUUCCCCCGUAGGGCGUAUGCGGUAUUAGCAGUCGUUUCCAACUGUUAUCCCCCACAAAUGGGCAAAUUCCCAGGCAUUACUCACCCGUCCGCCGCUCGUCAUCUUCAAAGCAAGCUUUUGAAAUGUUACCGCUCGACUUGCAUGUGUUAGGCCUGCCGCCAGCGUUCAAUCUGAACCAGAUCAAUUCUGA